CGCAUCUUUCAGAUGGACAUGCCUUUAAUUCGAAAGUGGUGGUGUCUUCUUCUGAUGGAACGCUUCAAAAUAGAAGGCGGUUUGCCUUCUGGACCGAUGAGGCCAGAAACUUGCUCCAAGGAAAACUUCAGCCAGUGUACAAGGUGCCAAAAAAGUGUGCUAUCUCUGAGGAAAUCCCACUUCACAUUCAGGCUGUUCCAAAACAGAGGAAAAAAGAAUUGUCGACUUUAUUGUAAAGUUAAAGGGGUCUGAGGAGCAUUUGAUGGAUGUACUCAACGGGAAGCCCUCUAAGUGGUUGCGUAAGCAAGCAUCUUUCCAGGUGCUUGUCUACAUAGACAGUGAGGAAGAGCAAGAUAUCCCUUUGCUUAUCUUAAAGACGUACUUCACAGGACACCAACAAAACUGAGGUUUACAGAUGAAGUGCAGCUUAUCUGUGAUGUUCUUUUUCCAGAGUGGUUUCAUCUGUAAACCUCAGUACUAAUGUGUCCACUUUUCAUUUCAUAUUA